GACGAACCGUGCAAACGUUAUUCGGAAUCACUGGGCGUAAAGCGCACGUAGGCGGAUUGCUAAGUCAGGGGUGAAAUCCUGGAGCUCAACUCCAGAACUGCCUUUGAUACUGGCGACCUUGAGUCCGGGAGAGGUGAGUGGAACUGCGAGUGUAGAGGUGAAAUUCGUAGAUAUUCGCAAGAACACCAGUGGCGAAGGCGGCUCACUGGCCCGGUACUGACGCUGAGGUGCGAAAGCGUGGGGAGCAAACAGG
rnacentral:rRNA from 1 species